GUGCUGGCUUCAGCAGCACAUAUAUUAAAAUUGGAAUGAUACAGGGAAGAUUAGCAUGGCCUCUGCACAAGGAUGAAAUGCACAUUUGUGAAGUGUUCCACAGUUUU